UACGAAGGGAGCUAGCGUUGUUCGGAAUCACUGGGCGUAAAGCGCACGUAGGCGGACGUGUCAGUCAGGGGUGAAAUCCCGGAGCUCAACUUCGGAACUGCCUUUGAUACAGCACGUCUUGAGUCCGGAAGAGGUGGGUGGAAUUCCUGGUGUAGCGGUGAAAUGCGCAGAUAUCAGGAAGAACACCCGUGGCUAAGGCGGCUCUCUAGUACGGUACUGACGCUGAGACGCGAAAGCGUGGGGGAGCGAACAGG
rnacentral:rRNA from 1 species